AGAGUUAAUCGAAGUUACAACAGGGCUACUCAUUGAAAGGCAGUUUGUGUCUACGCAACAAAGGAACGCUAAAAUGUCCGCGUUCAGAUCUUUCUAUACGCUAUUUUGAAAAGUCCCGUUACAGUCUGUCAGAGAACAGCUUUCUUCGGCCGGUGGGUGUCAGAAUAGAAGAAUAAAGAAGAGACAGAGAUGGUGAGGCUCAGUGGCAUUAUGGCGCUGGCAUACCAAUUGUCACGCAUCUUCCUGGAAACCUCGGCUCCGCCUUGUCGACGAAGAUACAGAAAGCCGUAUCCCUCCGCUUUAGGGUGCUCGCUAACGGGCUUCUCUUCAGAAAUGAUAACUGUAAUACACUCGUUGUUUGUCCUGGAAGCAACUGGAAUUACAUCUUACAGGACACCGUCCAGAUGGACAAUAGGAUUUUGAAGGGAAUUAUCACCAAAACAAAGAGGUCAGAGAAAAGAGGAAACUUCCCCUGUAAGGCUAUUCCAUGGAGCAAUUUAUGUUAAAAUAUCCCACCUCUGCUUAGCUUGGAGAAGACAGUCCCCACUAUAGGAAAUAGUGAACAUACAGUAGCUCAAUGAUUUAUUUGAACUUUCUUAUUAAGUACUUGAAUUUUCUUUCCAUUCUGGCAAUAGGAGAGAGACCUUUUGCCCAAUGAGGAAAAGAGAACUGUCUGUGAGCAAUAAAGAAAGCCAACAUGUCAAGAGUUAAAGGUGCACUGCAUAGUCUGUGAUCUUUGCUUUCUAUGUGCCUCCUAUUGGUACAAGCCUCUAUUUGGAAAUACUACUCAAGAAGAGUUAAAAAUGAUUUAUUUCAUCAUGCUUUUAAAUAUGAAUUAUAUUGAAUAUUUCACAGUCUACUUUGCACCCCACAGUGAAUAUAAGAGCAUAAAACCACUAAAAAGUAAUGUUUGCUAUGGUAUGAUAUUUUAAGUGUCCACCAGUUUUCACGCCAAUGUUAGACUUGUGAAAGUUUGGUUCUCACCAUAACUUAUGAUUUAUUGCCUCAAAAGGCUUAUGUUUCAUUUUUCACAUUAUGGCAAAAAUGAUCAAAAUAAGUAUGUGAAACUGGAAACUCUCAAACAAUUCUCACUAGGGAGUGUGCAGUGUAAGAAAAAUGAAACUUUUACCCUGCACAAAGUAAAUACAGUAUUUUGUGUAGUACACAUUUUUAAUUCAUAUUUACAAAUACUAUAUUUUUUUAAUUUUACAUUCUGCUCUGAUUAUUUAACACAUAUUUAUGAUAUAUUUGUCAAUGUUUUCAAUUCCCUGAGUGAAUUCCACAAUGAUACCUUCAUAUAUCAUUAAUAAUGCAUGAAAUUCUUUUCUUCAGGUUGAGUGGUCAUCAACAAUCCAGUUUGACAGAGUUGGACUGCUGAGUACAAAUCUGAUCUGUCAACUGGUGUGGCUAUAGAUUUGUUUGUCUCAAGGACCUUUGAGACCUAUAGGUUAUGUAUUUCCUCCGAUAUUCUCAGCACAAAGAAUUUAGUGUUUUCCUCUUUUCUGCUGGUGAUGCAGAAGAAAUUCUUAGUUAUCGCGUGUGAUUUUACAGUUAGAACAUUCUCAAAUCCACUAAUCCAUCACUCUGAAAUUUAAAUUAAUCUAAUCUGCAUGUUUUUGAUUGUGUGGAAUGAAAACCACUCACACACCAGUAGAAUGUGCAAACUCCAUUUGGGCAAUGGUUAAACACAAGAUACAGUACAAAUCCAGAAUUUUGGGAGGCAGCACUAACCACCACAUCAACAUAUCUCAUAAUAGCAGAUAUUAAAUUCUUAUAAACAAUUACUAUACAAUUAUGCAAAAAAAAAUGGCCUACGUAAUUAAUCUUCUUUGUAAUAUUUUGCUUGGUGACUCUUAAUUGUUUUUGAGCUAAUUUGUAAAUUGUGAAGUUUAUUUGAUUUCUUCUAUUGUUCAGAUAGCCAACCGGCAUAAAUAGUAAAAGUGAUACUAAAAUCAUUCUGAAAAUGUAUUUCAGAUGUUAAUACCACAUGGUGCUACCUGUCUUAAAAAUUGCCAGAAACAUGUACUUUUCCCAUAAUUUAUUGCCAAUAUGCACAUUAAAUAUAUAAGUUGUAA